GACGAACGCUGGCGGCGUGCCUAAUACAUGCAAGUCGAGCGAAGUUUUUCUGGUGCUUGCACCGGAAAAACUUAGCGGCGAACGGGUGAGUAACACGUAAAGAACCUGCCUCAUAGACUGGGACAACUAUUGGAAACGAUAGCUAAUACCGGGUAACAGCAUUAACUGCAUGGUUGAUGUUUAAAAGUUGGUUUUGCUAACACUAUGAGAUGGCUUUGCGGUGCAUUAGCUAGUUGGUGGGGUAAAGGCCUACCAAGGCGACGAUGCAUAGCCGACCUGAGAGGGUGAUCGGCCACACUGGGACUGAGACACGGCCCAGACUCCUACGGGAGGCAGCAGUAGGGAAUCUUCCGCAAUGGGCGAAAGCCUGACGGAGCAACGCCGCGUGAGUGAAGAAGGAUUUCGGUUCGUAAAGCUCUGUUGUUAGGGAAGAAUGAUUGUGUAGUAACUAUACACAGUAGAGACGGUACCUAACCAGAAAGCCACGGCUAACUACGUGCCAGCAGCCGCGGUAAUACGUAGGUGGCAAGCGUUGUCCGGAAUUAUUGGGCGUAAAGCGUGCGCAGGUGGUUUAAUAAGUCUGAUGUGAAAGCCCACGGCUCAACCGUGGAGGGUCAUUGGAAACUGUUAAACUUGAGUGCAGGAGAGAAAAGUGGAAUUCCUAGUGUAGCGGUGAAAUGCGUAGAGAUUAGGAGGAACACCAGUGGCGAAGGCAGGUUACUGGGCAGUUACUGACGCUGAGGAGCGAAAGCAUGGGUAGCGAACAGGAUUAGAUACCCUGGUGGUCCAUGCCGUAAACGGUGGGCGCUAGGUGUGAGGGUCUUUUCACGACUUUCGUGCCGUAGCUAACGCAUUAAGCGCCCCGCCUGGGGAGUACGGCCGCAAGGCUAAAACUCAAAGGAAUUGACGGGGGCCCGCACAAGCGGCGGAGCAUGUGGAUUAAUUCGAUGCAACGCGAAGAACCUUACCUGGGCUUGACAUACACCGGACCGCUGCAGAGAUGUAGUUUCCCUUUGUGGCUGGUGUACAGGUGGUGCAUGGUUGUCGUCAGCUCGUGUCGUGAGAUGUUGGGUUAAGUCCCGCAACGAGCGCAACCCUUGUCUUAUGUUGCCAGCAUUUGGUUGGGGACUCAUGAGAGACUGCCGGGGUCAACUCGGAGGAAGGUGGGGAUGACGUCAAAUCAUCAUGCCCCUUAUGUCCAGGGCUUCACACAUGCUACAAUGGUCGGUACAACGCGCAGCGACACUGUGAGGUGGAGCGAAUCGCUGAAAGCCGGCCUUAGUUCGGAUUGGGGUCUGCAACUCGACCCCAUGAAGUCGGAGUCGCUAGUAAUCGCAGAUCAGCAAUGCUGCGGUGAAUACGUUCCCGGGCCU
rnacentral:rRNA from 1 species